UGAAAUGUUUCCUUUGCACAGGUUUGUCAUC
rnacentral:piRNA from 1 species